GAUGAACGCUGGCGGCGUGCCUAACACAUGCAAGUCGAACGGAAUUUACAUGAAGCCUAGCGAUUGUAAAUUUAGUGGCGGACGGGUGAGUAACGCGUGGGUAACCUGCCUUGUACUGGGGGACAACAGUUGGAAACGACUGCUAAUACCGCAUCAGCGCACAGCUUCGCAUGAAGCAGUGUGAAAAACACCGGUGGUACAAGAUGGACCCGCGUCUGAUUAGCUGGUUGGUGAGGUAACGGCCCACCAAGGCGACGAUCAGUAGCCGGCCUGGGAGGGUGAACGGCCACAUUGGGACUGAGACACGGCCCAAACUCCUACGGGAGGCAGCAGUGGGGAAUAUUGCACAAUGGGGGAAACCCUGAUGCAGCAACGCCGCGUGAGUGAAGAAGUAUUUCGGUAUGUAAAGCUCUAUCAGCAGGAAAGAAAAUGACGGUACCUGACUAAGAAGCCCCGGCUAACUACGUGCCAGCCGCCGCAGUAAUAC
rnacentral:rRNA from 1 species